GAGUUUGAUCCUGGCUCAGGAUGAACGCUAACGGCAGGCCUAAUACAUGCAAGUCGAGGGGUAAGUCAGAAGCUUGCUUUUGACACGACCGGCGCACGGGUGCGUAACGCGUAUGCAAUCUGCCCUGUACUAAGGGAUAGCCCGGGGAAACUCGGAUUAAUACCUUAUGGUAUCACAGAUAGGCAUCUUGAAGUGAUUAAAGAUUUAUCGGUACAGGAUGAGCAUGCGUCUGAUUAGUUAGUUGGUGAGGUAAUGGCUCACCAAGGCGACGAUCAGUAGGGGUUCUGAGAGGAUGAUCCCCCACACUGGCACUGAGAUACGGGCCAGACUCCUACGGGAGGCAGCAGUAGGGAAUAUUGGUCAAUGGGCGAGAGCCUGAACCAGCCAUGCCGCGUGCAGGAUGACGGCCUUCUGGGUUGUAAACUGCUUUUAUAUGGGAAGAAAAAGGCCUUGCGAGGCAAAUUGCCGGUACCAUAUGAAUAAGCACCGGCUAACU
rnacentral:rRNA from 1 species